rnacentral:lncRNA from 1 species
GAGACCCUGAAAGGAAGCACUAAAGAAAUGAAGACAGAGGAAUACCAGGAGAGAAAGGAGGUCCAGUUAGACCUAAAGGUGGGCAAGAAGAAGAAGAAGAGGAGUUUGGAUGCUUCAUCUCUGCUGAGACCCAGUGCCUGGCACUGAAGGUGCUCAGGAAAUACCUUCUGAAUGAUCGGAAGCCCCUGCCAUCUGCUAAACUGGAUCUAUGAUGACAGAAGCCGAGGAAUGUGAGGUUCAUCUAGAGAGUUCUUGUGAAUUUUCCAAGGGAGGCACCUGUUGAAUUCAGGCAUCGGCAUGUGACUUGAUUUGGUCAAUGAAAUGUGAGAGAAGUGACAUCCACUUUGAGGCAGGCACUUUCCGAGUUGCCCCGACGGCCACUCUCCAUACUGCUGCCAGAAGAACCUUGAAAUAUCGCUCUUUUUAAU